UGAUUUUAGAGAACCCUCUCUCUACCUUC
rnacentral:piRNA from 1 species